rnacentral:misc_RNA from 1 species
AAUAAAGACCGGGUGAAUCAUCGAAUCUUUGAACGCACAUUGCGCCCGCCAGUAUUCUGGCGGGCAUGCCUGUUCGAGCGUCAUUUCAACCAUCAAGCCCCCGGCUUGUGUUGGGGACCUGCGGCUGCCGCAGGCCCUGAAAACCAGUGGCGGGCUCGCUAGUCACUCCGAGCGUAGUAGUUUACAUCUCGCUCAGGGCGUGCUGCGGGUUCCGGCCGUUAAAAGCCUUAAUUUACCCAAGGUUGACCUCGGAUCAGGUAGGAAGACCCGCUGAACUUAAGCAUAUCAAUAAGCGGAGGA